rnacentral:rRNA from 1 species
AUUGAACGCUGGCGGCAUGCCUUACACAUGCAAGUCGAACGGCAGCACGGGGGCAACCCUGGUGGCGAGUGGCGAACGGGUGAGUAAUACAUCGGAACGUGUCCUGUAGUGGGGGAUAGCCCGGCGAAAGCCGGAUUAAUACCGCAUACGCUCUACGGAGGAAAGGGGGGGAUCUUAGGACCUCCCGCUACAGGGGCGGCCGAUGGCAGAUUAGCUAGUUGGUGGGGUAAAGGCCUACCAAGGCGACGAUCUGUAGCUGGUCUGAGAGGACGACCAGCCACACUGGGACUGAGACACGGCCCAGACUCCUACGGGAGGCAGCAGUGGGGAAUUUUGGACAAUGGGCGAAAGCCUGAUCCAGCAAUGCCGCGUGUGUGAAGAAGGCCUUCGGGUUGUAAAGCACUUUUGUCCGGAAAGAAAACGCCGUGGUUAAUACCCGUG